AUUGAACGCUGGCGGCAGGCCUAACACAUGCAAGUCGAACGAGUGGCGGACGGGUGAGUAAUGUCUGGGAAACUGCCCGAUGGAGGGGGAUAACUACUGGAAACGGUAGCUAAUACCGCAUACCAUCGGAGGUGCCCCGAUGGGAUUUGCUAGUAGGGGGGGUAAAGGCUCACCCAGGCGACGAUCCCUAGCUUGUCUGAGAGGAUGACCAGCCACACUGGGACUGAGAAACGGUCCAGACUCCUACGGGAGGCAGCAGUGGGGAAUAUUGCACAAUGGGCGCAAGCCUGAUGGAGCCAUGCCGCGUGUAUGAAGAAGGCCUUCGGGUUGUAAAGUACUUUCAGCGGGGAGGCGUUACCCGCAGAAGAAGCACCGGCUAACUCCGGGCCAGCCGCCGCGGUAAUUC
rnacentral:rRNA from 1 species